AUCUCGCCUCUACCUCACUUUCUCCAUUUUCUUCUUUCUUUCCUCUUCUACGUCUCUAGGUUUUUUAGAUAUUAGUUGUUGUCAAUAUUGCUCAUACACAUCACUGUAGAAUACCCUCACCUACCAAUUCACAAUACAACAUCAAGUGCUCCUUAUUUUUGUUGGUGCUUGAAAUCCAUCUCCGGUUUCAUUCAGUGAGUAUCAAGUUUUUUUCAUCCCUUUGAGAAGUAAAUCGAUAUCUUACCCUCAAGCCCAAUAAAGGUGGAUUCGAGUUUCUACUUUGUUGGGAACUAACGAAAUUCAUGCUCUCCUAUUUGAAAUAUGGAGGAUUUGUAAGUAUAAACAUUUAUCUACUAUUGUAGUGCAAUUAGAAGUAAUAUAUGAUACCAUUUUAAUGUAAUAUCCUAUUGUGUAAAUCGUUUCAAACUCAACAAUCAUCUUUAUGUUGGUCUCUUUCUAUUCAAUUACAAGGACAAUAAACUAUGAGACCAGACUAACUGUUCAGUACCAUUUUCGGAAUUAUUUUUCUUAUAUGCUUUGUAUAUUUCACCUUACAUUUCUCUUUUUAGUUUUACUAAUGGAAGUUUACAAACUAUUUAUGUAAUACCCGGCCCAAGCACGGAGGAAAACCAAGCCCAGGUGUGAAGCACACUAUUUAGUUCUUUUGUAAUGGAUUAGGUUGUUAAUUCGUUUCCUCUCCCCUAUGCCGACACCCCCUUCCCCUUUCCAUUUCCGUUACACCCCUACUCCAUUACUGUUACUUUCAUGUUGUACUUUACCCUCUCUGAUCCUCAAAUUCUCUGUGAACCGUUUCUUCUACUUGCCCUCUCUCUCUCUCUCUCAGUUGGGUUUUGUGCUACAUGCCUUUGCCUCCUUUUACUUCUCGGGUUCAGUUGAACAACGAUGUUCUCUCUCUCUCUCUCUCUCUCUCUCUCUGCUUUGUGUUACGAUUGACAGAGGCCACCUGAGUCAAUGUGCAUCUCUCGCCACCAAGGUAUACCCUGGUUUCUCAUCAUUUCUCUGUAUCAUAGGACAUCUCCAACGCCACUAGGCAACGUCGCAUCGCUUUCUAAUUCAACGGGCCAUUGCACGAAAUUAGGUUACGAUACUACUAGAGUUCGGAUCCAAGGCUUAAAUAAUAUACUGUAAGCAUCAGAUAAUUAUGAUGAUUCAGCUAGGAAGGAAGGCAAGAUUAGUUGGAAGGCAAGAUUAGUUGUGCCUAGUGGAAUGAGUACCAAAUGGUACAAGAGUUUACGGAGUCUUACUUGAAAGUCUUGUCACUUUCUUUGAAUGGUAUUUUGGAAUCUUGAUGGCUUUGUUGUAACUUUAAUUAUGGAGUUCUUUAUCAUUAUAUGUUGGAAGAGUUCGUUUUUAUUUGUGAAUGUAUACUUUUGAUUGGAGGAGUUUUAUGAGUUAUCUAGUUUUUUUCUUGUGUUA